rnacentral:rRNA from 1 species
UGGGGAAUAUUGCACAAUGGGCGCAAGCCUGAUGCAGCCAUGCCGCGUGUAUGAAGAAGGCCUUCGGGUUGUAAAGUACUUUCAGCAGUGAGGAAGGGGUGUCGUUAAUAGCGGCAUCUCUUGACGUUAGCUGCAGAAGAAGCACCGGCUAACUCCGUGCCAGCAGCCGCGGUAAUACGGAGGGUGCGAGCGUUAAUCGGAGUUACUGGGCGUAAAGCGCAUGCAGGU